rnacentral:rRNA from 1 species
GCCUUCGGGAACUCUGAGACAGGUGCUGCAUGGCUGUCGUCAGCUCGUGUUGUGAAAUGUUGGGUUAAGUCCCGCAACGAGCGCAACCCUUAUCCUUUGUUGCCAGCACGUGAUGGUGGGAACUCAAAGGAGACUGCCGGUGAUAAACCGGAGGAAGGUGGGGAUGACGUCAAGUCAUCAUGGCCCUUACGAGUAGGGCUACACACGUGCUACAAUGGCGUAU